rnacentral:lncRNA from 1 species
CUUUACACAACCCAUGUAAUCAUAAGGGAAAGAGAUACAUAGUUGGCUUACAAUCGCCACUUCACACAAUUACAUGAAUAAAGCAUUACAUCAUCCAGAUACAAUCAAGGUCCGACUACGGAACCAAAAUAAAAGAAGAACCCCAAAUGCGACAAAGGUCCCCGAUCAACCCCAACUGGGCUCCACUACUGAUCAACUAGAACGAAACAACACAAAGGGCAAGAUCUUCAUCGAGCUCCUCCUUGAGCUUGGUUGCGUCACCUGCUCGGUAACAUAGGCACCUGCAAACUGGUUUUGGAAGUAUCUGGUGAGCCACGAGGACUCAGCAAUCCCAUUACCAUGGGUAUCAAGACUAGCAAAGCUUAAUGGGAAAGGAAGGGGUAAAGUGGUGAGGUUGCAGCAGCGGCUAAGCAUAUAUGGUGGCUAACAUACGCAAAUGAGAGCGAGAAGAGAAACAAAGGAACGGUCGUGAAGCUAGCAAUGAUCAAGAGGUGAUCCUAAACACCUACCUACGUCAAACAUAACACAGAAACCGUGUUCACUUCCCGGACUCCGCCGAGAAGAGACCAUCACGGCUACACACGCGGUUGAUGCGUUUUAAUUCGGAUCUGGUGUCAAGUUAUCUACAACCGGACAUUAACAAAUUCCCAUCUGCCACAUAACCGCGGGCACGGCUCUCGAAAGUUUAUAUCCUGCAGGGGUGUCCCAACUUAGCCCAUGACAAGCUCUCGCGAUCAACGAAGGAAUAGACCUUCUCCUAGGAAGACCCGAUCAGUCUCGGAAUCCCGGUUUACAAGACAUUUCGACAAUGGUAAAACAAGACCAGCAAAGCCUCCCGCUGUGCCGACAAAUCCCGAUAGGAGCUGCACAUAUCUCGUUCUCAGGGUACACCGGAUGAGCAAGACGUCGGGUUGGCAUAGACCAUGGUUGCCCAGGGGGCGCCGGACAUUGCUCGGUUCGGACCAGCACUUAGACAAGCACUGGCCCGGGGGGGCUAAAAUAAAGAUGACCCUCGGGUUGGCCGACCCAAGGGAAAGGGAUAGGUGGUGGUGAGGCAAAUGGUAAAACCAAGGUUGGGCCUUGCUGGACAAGUUUUAUUCAAAGCGAACUGUCAGGGGGGUCCCAUAAAUCACCCGACCGCAUUAGGAACGCAAAAUCCGGGAACAUAACACCGGUAUGACGGAAACUAGGGCGGCAAGAGUGGAACAAAACACCAGGCAUAAGGCCGAGCCUUCCACCCUUUACCAAAUAUAUAGAUGCAUUAAUAAUAUAAGAGAUAUUGUGAUAUCCCAACAUAACCCUAUUCACCAUGGAGCAAUCUUCAACUUCACCUGCGACUAGCAAUGCUAUAAGAGGGGCUGAGCAAAGCGGUAACAUAGCCAAACAACGGUUUGCUAGGAAGGGUGUCAAAAGGUUAGAGGUUCAUGGCAAUUUGGGAGGCUUGAGCAACAAGAGAUAGGUAGCAUGGCAAAGCGAUAGAACGACGCAACUAGCAUAGCAAUGAUAGUAGUGAGAUCCAGGGUAGCGGUCAUCUUGCCUGAAAUCCCGCUAGGAAGAAGAACGAGUCCAUGAAGAAGACGGACGGGAGUAGUCGAACGAAUCCUCACAAUCGCAACAUUACCGGAACUAAGAAGCAACACCGG